UGGCUUUUCAUUGCUGUAACAAAACUAGUUGAUUCAUAUUAGUUGGCAGAUUUGUUGAUGUUCAUUUUUCAGGAGAGCUGUUUAUCUAGAUCAAAUCAUAAAAAAGAACUACCUGAAGGAACCUCUGUGCUGGAAGAAAAGGGCUGGGGCUGUGUACCAAGGUUGUUGGGGAAAACAGUGUAUAUUGCAAUAAGUUUGAGAUCUUUCUUUGGGAGGCCAUUGUGUUCUGACCCUGGCAGACAGCAAAUCCCUGCAUAGAUCAGUCUCUACCAGAACUGGAGGGAUGAAGGAAAGCAGGAGUGUAGAAGACAGUCCUGAGUCCAGAUGUCCCCCUUUUCGCCUUCUUUCUCCCCAGCUUUGAUUGCUGAGCACAGUGUCACGCUGCAUGGGAUCUCCUUUUGGGUCUAAAUCACAGAACUGCUUGUGGAACACCAUUAUCGGUGGGCUGACUGGCAACCUCAAGGAAAGGCCGAAGCCCACCAUCAUCAGUGACCCUAGACCUCCUGAAGAGAUCCUUGCAGAUGAGCUGCCACCUGUGGACAGUCCCGAGGCCUUGGUGAAAGCAUCUUUCAGGUCUGAAGGAUAUGAUUUUUACACUGUUUAUGCUUGAGAGGAUGUUUUUAAGGUUGUUUGCAGUGUCUGCAGGAGAAAUCAAUUCUGAAAGAUCCUGCAGUGCUGCAUAGCUUUGUAUGAAACAGGAGAGGAAAAGAGUGGUCUGUAAAUAAUAUUGACUGGAUGUGUGGUUUUACUCAGAGUUCACUAGCCUUCUUAAAAGAUUAUGGACAAGACACAUAUAGAAGAUGUCUUUGACAGUUGAUACAGUUUAAUUUGGAAGUGUUUUAGUGAUGAAAGCUUGCACUUCAGGUCAGAUGGCGCUUUACUGAUGUGAGGGAGCGCUACACCUUUCUUUGUUAAUGUAAUGUCUUGAGAACUGUCUAGCAUUCAUUUGUUUUGUCCAUUAAUUUGCUUCUGGCCAGGGACUUGUAAGCGAGCGAUUGCUGCUGUUGUGAAGUAUGAGAGAGAUCAAUUUGUGGAUUUUUCUCUCAUUUAAUCCCAUGGACGUAAAGUUGUCAAUAAAGAUGUUUAUUGGCAUGUUUUCUGAAAAUAAGGUAAAGUGGAGAAGCUGUGUGCUUGCAGUGGGUCUUUGACCACACCGUGAGCAGUGGUGUGCCCAGAAGUAACGUGUGGCAAAACGGAUCUUUUCCAAGUGCUUUUUAGCAGCUUUUUCUGAAAACUUUGUUUGACUUUUCUUUUAUAAUCAACGCACGUGUGUGCAA